GGCCUACGGGAGGCAGCAGUGGGGAAUAUUGGGCAAUGGGCGCAAGCCUGACCCAGCGACGCCGCGUGAGGGAAGACGGUCUUCGGAUUGUAAACCUCUUUCAGCAGGGAAGACAAAAGGACGGUACCUGCAGAAGAAGCCACGGCUAACUACGUGCCAGCAGCCGCGGUAAUACGUAGGUGGCAAGCGUUAUCCGGAAUUACUGGGUGUAAAGGGCGUGUAGCCGGGCCGGCAAGUCAGAUGUGAAAUCCCAAGGCUCAACCUUGGAACUGCAUUUGAAACUGUUGGUCUUGAGUAUCGGAGAG
rnacentral:rRNA from 1 species